UUAUGUAAAUAUAUUUUUUGCCAACACGUUCUGCACCCUUUUACAGCAUUCACGAAAUUUCAAACUCUUUCAAUCGUCUUCUUCUCACGUCUCUUUCAACAGUGGUAUGAAUUCUGAAAAUUUGGAUUAAACGCCAUUCUUUUCAAAUAGUUUGCUUCAGGUGCGGCGCAACUAGGAGCCUCGUCUGAAAAUUGAUUGAGUUUCUUUUGUUGUCGUGGAUAUUGAGGUCAGUGAUUUUGGAGCGGCGUGGCGGAAUGGGUGUGGUGAAGUUAAUUUCGUACUUUUGGUUCCGCUUUGAACGUUAGACUUUAAAUUCGUUAAUUUUCUUUGAGUCAUUUUGAGGUUAAGCAUGCUUUUAUUUUAUGAAGGUUUUUGGUAGUUGGUUUAAAUUUUUUUUUUAUUGGUGAACGAUGAACUUGACGUAGACGUAUUUAGUCGUUUAAGGCUUCGUAGACGAUUUUCUGCAGCUGAACUCGUUUUGUCGAUUUGGUGUUUAAAUUGGUUAAAACGAAGUCGUAUUUUUGGUUCGUUUACUUUUAUGAAAUUGGAAGUUUAAAUUAAAA